rnacentral:tRNA from 1 species
UCCCUGGUGGCUCAGUGGUAAAGAAUCUGCCUGCAGUGCAGGAGAGCCGGGUUCGAUCCCUGGGUUGGGAA